CCUACGGGAGGCAGCAGUAAGGAAUAUUGGACAAUGCUCGCAAGAGUGAUCCAGCCAUGCCGCGUGCAGGAAGAAUGCCCUAUGGGUAGUAAACUGCUUUUGAACUAGAGAAAACCCCAGUACGUGUACUGGGCUGAUAGUAUAGUUAGAAUAAGCAUCGGCUAACUUCGUGCCAGCAGCCGCGGUAAGACGAAGGAUGCAAGCGUUAUCCGGAUUCAUUGGGUUUAAAGGGAGCGUAGGUGGACUGAUAAGUCAGUGGUGAAAUCUCCGAGCUUAACUCGGAAAUUGCCAUUGAUACUGUUGGUCUUGAGUACAGUUGCUGUGGGCGGAAUAUGACAUGUAGUGGUGAAAUACAUAGAGAUGUCAUAGAACACCGAUUGCGAAGGCAGCUCACAAAGCUGUAACUGACACUGAGGCUCGAAAGUGCGGGGAUCAAACAGGAUUAGAUACCCUGGUAGUCCGCACCGUAAACGAUGAUUACUCGCUGCUAGGGGGCAACCUUUAGUGGCUUAGNGAAGAGANAGAUACACCGNGGAGACGCGCGACGAGAAGUAAGAAGUAGAGCGNGAGAGNGCGAGGACGACACGAGGGAGGAG
rnacentral:rRNA from 1 species